rnacentral:rRNA from 1 species
CCAGACUCCUACGGGAGGCAGCAGUGGGGAAUAUUGCACAAUGGGGGAAACCCUGAUGCAGCGACGCCGCGUGAAGGACGAAGUAUUUCGGUACGUAAACUUCUAUCAGCAGGGAAGAAAAUGACGGUACCUGACCAAGAAGCCCCGGCUGACUACGUGCCAGCAGCCGCGGUAAUACGUAGGGGGCAAGCGUUAUCCGGAUUUACUGGGUGUAAAGGGAGCGUAGACGGCCAUGCAAGUCUGAUGUGAAAACCCGGGGCUCAACCCCGGGACUGCAUUGGAAACUGUGCGGCUGGAGUGUCGGAGAGGCAAGUGGAAUUCCUAGUGUAGCGGUGAAAUGCGUAGAUAUUAGGAGGAACACCAGUGGCGAAGGCGGCUUGCUGGACGACGACUGACGUUGAGGCUCGAAAGCGUGGGGAGCAAACAGGAUUAGAUACCCGGGUAA